rnacentral:tRNA from 1 species
AAAAAAGUAACUCAGCGGAAAGUGGUUCACUUUAAAUGAAGAGGUGGUUUCCAAAACAAGCCCUAUUUUA